GUGCUCGCUUCAACAGCACAUUUACUACAAUUAGAAUGAUCUAGAGAGGCUGAGUGUGGCCCCUGUACAAAGAUGACCUGUAAAUUCAUGAAGCAUUCUAUAUUAAA
ensembl:snRNA U6 U6 spliceosomal RNA